rnacentral:lncRNA from 1 species
CGCGCGCGAGGGCCUUGGGUGCGAGGUGGCCAAAGUGGAGGCGGCCGCGCUCCUCCAUCGUGAGCACGCCAAAGCGCCGCGAGGCGAGCACGGCGGUGGCAUAGUCGCGCGGUCCAAGCAGCGAGACGACAGCGGCGAGGAUCUCGGGCGGCAGCGAGGUCACGCCGGCACGACUCGGGCGUGCUUUUUGUAUGGCCUUGGUCCGUGAUGCGAUGCGCAUGGCCGGUCGAGGAGAAGAAAAAGAAGCGGACCCGACUAACAACCCACGACAAGCGUAAAAAACAAUUGUUGCGUAAAGAAAAGCGCAUCAAAUAAAAAAAGAGGUCUCGACCGCUGUCGGCAGCGAUUCGUGGCAAAGCCUUG